CAAGAAAUGGCGCCUCGCUAUUUCCCUGUCUGUUAGUAGAGUUUUAGCGGUUUUCUGCUCCUUAAAGUCCUUUCAGCGUAGAAGCAAAAUGUCUUUGAAAGUAAGAGAUGUUUUAGAUGCCCUUCAACAGAUGCAAAAGAGUCUGGAGUGUUCGAUUUGCCUUGAACUGUUGAAGGAUCCUCACUCAACGAAAUGUAACCACCAGUUUUGUGGUGAUUGCAUCAAGCAAGUUCUUGAAAAGAGCAGUAAGAAGUCAAAGUACAAAUGGUAUUGC